CUCCAAAAAGCACAGCAGCAGCCAGCAGCUUUCUGAGCUCCGCAGCGGCUGCAGGUGAUGGAAGCUGGACCUGGAGGCGCUGCCCGCUGCCCGCUGCUCCUGGCCUCCUCGGGGCUCCCUCCCCUCCCCUCUAUUCUCCAAUAAGCUUUAACCCAUUUUGUGCCCUGCCACCCUUUGGGGUGAGGAAAGCAGCCAGGCAAGGAAGCCUUCUGAUUUUCCGCAGGUCUUGUAUUUGGCAGUACCAACCAACAUAGUGAGCUAUUUCCUGAUUGCCCGGGAGUGUAUCCAGGUAAAACUGCAUUAUGUUUCAAAACAAAAGCAUAAAAUAAGACAGAAAUAACGAAGCAAGCGUUGGUGAAUUGUAGCUAAAACUGUCCUCCGGGAAAACGCGUGCUGUUUUUCUCUGUUUCUAUAAAACUAUUGCCUUGUGCUCCGGUGCCAGGAUUUUAUUACGGAAAUUCCUCACAUGGGAACAGACAUUCCUGCUUGGCAGAUAUUUAAAAAUCAUCUGAUAAUAGUCUGCGAGAAAUUAACAUUUCUUAUUUUAGUUGGUGCUUCAGGAAUACAAAUCCACCCAUGAAGAGUUCUCUGAGUAGACUGAGUUUUAUGAAAGCAUCCUUCUGGAAAUAGGCAGCAUUCCAUAAUCAUGUUUCUUAAUAGUAAUUCCCAGAGGGCCCAAAAUGGAAAAUUAUGGAAUACUGAAAAAGGGAACCCCCUCCCAUAUGUGUGUGCGUGCACACACACGUGAGUGCACACACAGGUACACACUCACGCGCACACAUUCACACACUGACAGGAAUACAUACUCACUUAUACACACUCACAGGCACACAUGCAUGCACAUAUACAUGUGCACACACAUGCAUACACUCACACACAUAUGCACACACUUAUACAUACUCACAGACAUACAAAUGGGUGCAACACACACUCAGAAAAUCAACAACUACAGAGAAUAUUCUUCCAGUGGCCACUCCCUGGGCACUAUUGCUUGUGUAGAAUAUUAAAGCACUCAAAUGAUAAAGUUAAGACCCCAUACAGAGCGGCACAUCACAUGGUGUCAGAGAGGGUAAAUCAUCUCUUUAAAAUAAAUGUCAAGACGUCUUCCUGCUGAUUUCCUGGGCGUCAUCAAGGCAGGAAUCCAGGAGCUCUCAAGCAACAUCUUGGUGUUUGGAACCAGAGGCAGCCUUGCUGGGCUAUGAAAAAGGGGGUGGGGUGAGAGAACCAUCCAUAAACAAAGCAUAAUUAUUUAGCUCUUGACUUCAAACAAAGCCAAAUGGAUAGUUUUGUUUUUCCUAUUUUGCAGGUGGAAAACCAAGAACAGAGAAGAGAAUGAUGUGCAGGAUCAUUGAGUUAGGAAGGAAAGAGGAAGCUAGACUGAGUUUUGUUUUUGUUUUGUUUGUUUUGUUUUGUUUUUUGGGGGGCUAGGGGGGCUCUGAUUCUACCAAUUUCAUCCUCAGCCUUGCUGCCCCCAUAUCAGGGUUCACAGUACCCAGACUAACUCCUGCAACAAC
rnacentral:lncRNA from 1 species